rnacentral:rRNA from 1 species
GACAGAGGUGCCAAGCGUUAGGCGGAAUCACUGGGCUUAAAGCGUGUGUAGGCGGAUCGUUAAGUGCCUUGUGAAAUCCCACGGCUUAACCGUGGAACUGCUCGGCAUACUGCCGGUCUUGAGCAACCUAGGGGCGAGCGGAACAAAUGGUGGAGCGGUGAAAUGCGUAGAUAUCGUUUGGAACGCCAAUGGUGAAAACAGGUAGCUGGGAGUGUGCCGACGCUGAGACACGAAAGCCAGGGGAGCGAACGGG